CUGGCUCAGGAUGAACGCUGGCGGCACGCCUAACACAUGCAAGUCGAACGGUGUUAUCGGAGCUUGCUCUGAUAACAUAGUGGCGGACGGGUGAGUAACACGUGAGCAACCUGCCUCUGAGAGAGGGAUAGCUUCUGGAAACGGAUGGUAAUACCUCAUAACAUAACGAAACCGCAUGAUUUUGUUAUCAAAGAUUUAUCACUCAGAGAUGGGCUCGCGUCUGAUUAGGUAGUUGGUGAGGUAACGGCUCACCAAGCCGACGAUCAGUAGCCGGACUGAGAGGUUGAACGGCCACAUUGGGACUGAGACACGGCCCAGACUCCUACGGGAGGCAGCAGUGAGGGAUAUUGCACAAUGGAGGAAACUCUUGAUGCAGCGAUGCCGCGUGGAGGAAGAAGGUUUUCGGAUUGUAAACUCCUGUUUCGAGGGACGAUUAUGACGGUACCUCGGGAGGAAGCUCCGGCUAACUACGUGCCAGCCGCCGC
rnacentral:rRNA from 1 species